rnacentral:rRNA from 1 species
AGAGUUUGAUCCUGGCUCAGGACGAACGCUGGCGGCGUGCUUAACACAUGCAAGUCGAACGAUGAAGCUCUUCGGAGUGGAUUAGUGGCGAACGGGUGAGUAACACGUGGGAAAUCUGCCCUGCACUCUGGGACAAGCCUUGGAAACGAGGUCUAAUACCGGAUAUGACCUUCCUCUGCAUGGGGGUUGGUGGAAAGCUCCGGCGGUGCAGGAUGGUCCCGCGGCCUAUCAGCUUGUUGGUGGGGUAAUGGCCUACCAAGGCGACGACGGGUAGCCGGCCUGAGAGGGCGACCGGCCACACUGGGACUGAGACACGGCCCAGACUCCUACGGGAGGCAGCAGUGGGGAAUAUUGCACAAUGGGCGAAAGCCUGAUGCAGCGACGCCGCGUGAGGGAUGACGGCCUUCGGGUUGUAAACCUCUUUCAGCAGGGAAGAAGCGCAAGUGACGGUACCUGCAGAAGAAGCACCGGCUAACUACGUGCCAGCAGCCGCGGUAAUACGUAGGGUGCGAGCGUUGUCCGGAAUUAUUGGGCGUAAAGAGCUCGUAGGCGGCUUGUCGCGUCGAGUGUGAAAGCCCGGGGCUUAACCCCGGGUCUGCAUUCGAUACGGGCAGGCUUGAGUGUGGUAGGGGAGAUCGGAAUUCCUGGUGUAGCGGUGAAAUGCGCAGAUAUCAGGAGGAACACCGGUGGCGAAGGCGGAUCUCUGGGCCAUUACUGACGCUGAGGAGCGAAAGCGUGGGGAGCGAACAGGAUUAGAUACCCUGGUAGUCCACGCCGUAAACGGUGGGAACUAGGUGUUGGCGACAUUCCACGUCGUCGGUGCCGCAGCUAACGCAUUAAGUUCCCCGCCUGGGGAGUACGGCCGCAAGGCUAAAACUCAAAGGAAUUGACGG